CCUUCCGCGCGUGCUCCGAAUCCGUCCCGCCAAAUAGUAUUUAUUUUAUAAAUUAUAAUAUUAUUAAUAUUUUAUAAAUCUAAAUCAACAAAAUUUUUAAUAUUAAUUGAUAAUAUUAUCAAGUUAUAUAUAAUUAAUAAUAUCAACUAUAAAAAUAAAAAAUAUUAAUCACAACUCGCAAUAAAAUUCAAAAAUUUUAAAUACAUACAUAUGGAAAAAUUUUAAAGACAU
rnacentral:lncRNA from 1 species